rnacentral:rRNA from 1 species
UACGUAGGGUGCGAGCGUUGUCCGGAAUUAUUGGGCGUAAAGAGCUCGUAGGCGGUUUGUCGCGUCGGCCGUGAAAAUCUCCACGCUUAACGUGGAGCGUGCGGUCGAUACGGGCAGACUUGAGUUCGGUAGGGGAGACUGGAAUUCCUGGUGUAGCGGUGAAAUGCGCAGAUAUCAGGAGAACACCGGUGGCGAAGGGCGGCAUCCCUGGACCGGUAUUGACGCUGAGGCGCGAAAGCCAGGGGAGA